UACGGGGGGUGCAAGCGUUGUUCGGAUUUACUGGGCGUAAAGGGCGCGUAGGCGGUCAUCUAAGUCAGACGUGAAAUCCCCCGGCUUAACCUGGGAACUGCGUCUGAUACUGGAAGGCUUGAGUAUGGGAGAGGGAUGUAGAAUUCCAGGUGUAGCGGUGAAAUGCGUAGAUAUCUGGAGGAAUACCGGUGGCGAAGGCGGCAGCCUGGACCAUUACUGACGCUGAGGCGCGAAAGCUAGGGGAGCAAACGGG
rnacentral:rRNA from 1 species